GUGAAAACGAAAACAAGAAGUAUGCCGUCUUACUGUGCUGCAUACAGUUACACACUACGUCGUACGAUUGAGACCAGGAAACUUGGAAUGACUUUUCAUAGAUUUCCCAGAGACUAUGGGUUGAGGAGGAAUUGGAAGUUUGUCGGCUUAGACCUGGUGUCAUUCCAUCAGUGUUAAACUUCCCGGCUCAUCUUGGAAGAGUACGUGCCAGAAAGACCACGACCAAGCAGCCUUGAGAUCUUAGGCAGCGUCUCCUUGAGGUCCCUCUCUAUCUCCCCACACAUCCACCAACCACUGGAACACAUCUCCAAAGUUCUGCCAGGCCAGCUCAGCUUCCCCUCAGAAGAAGUGCUGCCACCUGCCAGAUGAAGGAGCCUUUUGAGAGGCAGCUGGCAUCGUGAUUGGACUGUACUUUGGUCUGUUCCAAUCCAGCUUCAGCUCCAGAGACGGCAGGCGGGACGAGUCAACGGAGGCCUGGUGGACGAAGGCAUGCAGCUGAGUACAAUCCAGAAAACAACAGAGGAGGAGUACAGUGGCCCAGGACCAGAACAACCAGAGUAGCAUCAUAUGUCUCUUAGAAAACAUCAUAGUAUAGCCUUUGGUAUGAAAAAACAUCAUCAUAUAUUGUACGUAUGUAUAUUGUACAAAUAACAAGUCAAAGGAAAGAGACAUACAUUGCAGAAUUGUAGUAAUUGUGGGCUGACUGAUUUACUGAUUAUCAGGAUUUUAUUUUUUACUGAUUUACAGUAAUAAAUCAAUAUAAAAAUGGUGCUACUUUGGCUCUGAACCUUUAUCUACCUGUGGUCGCUCUGUCUUCUGGAGUGAUUUGAUUGGUUGUACGUCACAAAUAAAACUCCUUUAACUUAACAUCUGUAAACAAAACAAAAACGUAUCAACAAAGUUUUCUGUUAGAGUUUGUGUUCUUCUAAGUUUAACUCAAGAUUUUAAAUACUUUCAUUUACUGCAAAUGAAUAUCUACUCCAAAUGUCUCACUAAUAGUCAUUAUCAGCCUUAAAAAACAACAAAACACCCCUCUAUACUCGACCACACUUAGUACAGUCUGGUUCCCCCUUCUAUAAAUCUGCUUGGAAUCUUCCACUUCCUGUUUGUCAAAGUGGCCUUCUACCUGGACAGGUUUUGUUGGAGCUCAUGCAGCAAACAUUUUGGGUAACUGCACUUUAAUAUGGAUGGAUGACACUGAAUUAGAGUCUGUUUUAAUGAGACUGAGUUAAGAUGUGUAGCUCUGUCAUUAAAUAGUAAAUUAUUUCUCAGAAUUCACAGAGAAAAGUAUGAAAUGUUUGCUAGGUUAGCGUCCCACAUGUUCUUUGGCUCAGCUAAAGCUAACUCUCUCCAACUUCUGGAUCUCUUGAGUUGCUUGUUAAAAUAUCUUGCUGUAGGUGCUGAAGCUCAGAAAGUCUGAGAUGUUUGUUCAAAAUAAGCUCAUUCUCAAGUCUUAUCUGAAUUGUCCUCUUUUGUUUGAACUUUCCCUAAACUUAGGAGUU